GCAUCUGAACCUUCAUUUUCUAAAUUAUUGCAAGACAUGCAUUCUCAAUUCUAUAACGAGUCAGGGAGUACAACAUUUCAGUUUUAUUUCAUUAUUUUGCACAUAAUAUUUAAAAAUAAAAAUUAUGACAAUUAAAUUCUUUUUGAACUUUAUAACAAAAUUAUUCAAUGAGCACUUGUAAGCUUCUUAUCUUGCUUGCUUUCAUCACUAGCUAGAAGAAUGGCGAUUGUAGAAAUCUGUCAAGUAGGCCAAUGCUUCCGAGUUAUUGUUGCAUAUCUUCCACAGUGAUGUAACCUUACCUCUGGAGACAGUACCCCAAUCCUCACAGUUUUGAAUGAAGUCUAACAGCUUCUGGUAGAAUGAGUCAUAAUUCAUCACAAUAAAAGGGACUGGAAGCUCUGAUCCAAUCCUUUCUAGCUGCAUCAGGGCUAAAAUCUCGAAGAUCUCAUCUAGAGUUCCGAUUCCACCAGGGAGAGCAACUACUGCAGUCCUCUCAGAACUACAGUUCCUAACUGCAGCAUCCACUAACCCAUGCUUUCUCGCAGAGAAAAACCUGCAUGUAAGAUAAGUUUCCGAUGGUAGGUGAGGAUGAAAAUUUGAGGCUGUCCAUUCACCAGCUUCUUUUGCUAUCUUAAAUCCACCAACAGGUUUUCCCGCUUCCAGGGCACCUUUAAUAGAAGCAUCCAUUAGGCCUGGACCAGCUCCCGUCCAUGAAGUACAGUCCAAAAGCUUAGCAACCUGCUGUCCACGAAUUUUAAAUGCACAAGACCCAUGAUUGAAGUCUCACCUACUAGAAAACUUAAUAUUUCAUUUUUAAGUUUGCUUUGCUUUUCUUGGAAAUACUUUCCACCCAAUGCGUCCUCCAUAAAUUGAAAUAGAUUACAUGGUACACAGGGUAAGAAUUGAGACGAAUAUACUUGCCUCUCUACCCAACUCCCAUGCUUUCCAGUAAUGUGGAUGAUCUGGUCCCAUUCUUGAAGAACCCAGAUAGACAACUCCCCUUCCAAGUCUCUCUAUGAGUUCAUAGCAUCGUUCUAUCUCUUUUCUGAUCUUCAAACAUUAAAAAUACAAUUUUAAAGAAUUUAAUGAUCUCAAAUCAAUGAACCGUCAGUAAAUAAAAGAAAAAAAAAAGUACACACAGCACCAGAUGGCAAGCACAAGCAAAAAAUAACAAUGCUUUCAAGAUGAAUCAACAUAUUACGUUUCAAUGGAUAGUAAUCUUGCACUACAUUAAACAACCACGAAAGGUAAAAUAUAAAGGCAGGCAAGACGUUAUCUUAUAUUAUAGCCAUAAGAUACACUAUAGAAAUCAUGCUUUCCAUGCAUGUCUCAAUUAAUGAACUAAGGUUUCAUCUGUUCUAGAGGAAAUCAAAAACAAAGAAACAAAAUCGAACUAAAAUGUACAACAUUAUCCUUAUAAGGUGGUAUGCAGAAAGUAAAACGGUAGCUCCAUUCAGUUCUUUUGAGAAUAAUAAGAUAAGUUAAAUUGAACAAAAAAAUAAAGUAAGAUUUCAAACAAGGACUUUUCUCAGUUAAUUGCUUCCCCAAGAUCCUUCCCCGAUUGCAAUUCCACCACAGAUUUUAAGCAAGCUUGUAACAUUAGCAUGCGAACAAUUGCCCAGCUGAAACACAUACUACAGAAUAGGAAUUGGAAACUGAAACUUUAGAUGUUGCUGAAAAAAAUAAUUUGAAUGCUAGCUUCUUCAGAAAACUAUACAAGAGAAACGUAGGCUGAUGUUCGUUCAACCCCCCGGGUCAGUCCAAAAAAUCAAGACUCCUAUUGCCACAAAGCAGUGGCAAUGUCCUCCACUUUUACAAGCAUCAUCUUUUCUGUUUCAUAGACAAGUAUUUCAGCAAUCACAUUACAAUUAAUGUCACCUUAAUACUCAUGUAAUAAUUCAAAUUCCAGUACGAGCACUAGUUCUUUUGUCAAAAAGAGAACCUCUGCUUCCAAAUUUUUGAGCAUGAAACUGAUCCAAAUGAUCCCUAAUUCUUUUCGCUGUCUUAAACUGUUUAUCAAUUUCUAUUGUUUCCCUUAACCAUGAUGAACUGCCCCACCAUCAUAAAGUAUGUGAUGAGUUUCUCAUUCGGGUUUUCUUCCAUUUAGAAUCAACAAACUCAACAUUAUCAACACACGCACGCGCACACAUACGAAGAAGAAGCAGCAGUUAAAGACCCUAAAAACAUAAACAGUCAUGAAGAACAAACAGAGAUAACACAAAAGAAAUUAGAAACUGCAAGAAUCAAAAGAAAAAAGUCAAAAAAGAAAAGAAGAAAACAAAAUAUAGAAGAAAAAGAAACUAAAGUUACCUCGUUUGGGCUUGUUCUCUCAUCACAGCCAAUCAAUUCACUCUUACUCAGCGAAAUUCUCCUUGGGUAGGGCUUAAACUUUGAACACCUGAUACUAACACUAAACCUUUCAAUUUCAUUGAAAGAUGGAAACUUUUUACUCUUGUCAUCAAAAUUCCUCGCCAAAAAAUGAGAAGCACGAGAACCCACUAACGGAAAACCCAUUUUGGAUCUUCAAUAUGUGUCAAGUACGGGUGUUUUUUAGCAUUAAUUGUCUUAUAUGAGGAGAAGGGAAACGUAAUACAAAACAAAACGAAAAGAACAGAAAUACAUAUAUAUAUAUAUAUAUGAAGACAUUCAAAGACAUUUAUCAAUAGAUAGAGAUUUUAUGAUCAUUUCACAUCUUGUGCAGCCUUUAGAGAACACAAUGCUUCCCUUUCUCUGGUGUCAAAAUUGAAAGAAAUUGUAUCAGAAUAGGAGGGAAUUUAUUUCUCACAUAUCCAGACUACAGCAGCACUAAGAGUUAUACUUCUUUACUAUAAGAACAUAUUGAUUUUAUUAUAACAUCAGCAAAGUAAAGCUUACAAUUCUGGUAUGAGAAAACUGAAAGUGACAGUGCUGCAGAAACACUAGCAAGCACCAACCUACUUUGCUUGACCAGAAGACUUGCCUUGCUCAAAAAGAGCCAAUCCUAUCUCGGGCAGAGGUUGAUUUGAUGGCGGAGGAAAUUAAAGCAGGCAAAAAUAAAAAUCCUGAUAAAGACUGAGGAGCAUCCCAAAAACAAAAGAGCAAAAUACUGCUGAACUAAGCCUAAGGAAAUGAUGUAUUUACAAAAACUUGAUAGCUUAGGAUAUUCGUCUCUGCUUACAUUGUAAUUUAAAAUUAGGAAAAUAUGUUUGGUUGGAAACUUGGAAUCUUGAGAAUACUUGUUUUCUAUUUUAAGCAAAAAUCAAUAAACAGCUUAUGGGAAGUAAGCAAUGCAAAACAACUGCCAAGAACUAAGAUCCACACUUUUGACCUUCAAGGAAGAUGGGCAGGCAACCAUCAAUGAACUUGAAGAAAUAAAUUUCAAGAGAAGAGAAUGACAACAUGGAUCAUCCAUCCAAAUAAGAUACGAAAAAUUAUGUCAACUUAUAGAGCAAGAAUAACUAGCCUAGAGUAGAUGCUAAAGUGAGCUACAGGUCAAAUACAUGGCUCAAUUGAAUUUAGAACUGAGCCAAGACCUAACAGGACUUGAACAAGCUCACCUAAAUUGGUUGCAUGCAUCAAAGUUGGAAAAUUUGCUUG
rnacentral:misc_RNA from 1 species